rnacentral:rRNA from 1 species
UACGGGGGGAGCAAGCGUUGUUCGGAUUUACUGGGCGUAAAGGGCGCGUAGGCGGCCACCGCAAGUCAAUUGUGAAAUCUCCGGGCUUAACUCGGAAAGGUCAACUGAUACUGCGGGGCUAGAGUGCGGAAGGGGCAACUGGAAUUCUCGGUGUAGCGGUGAAAUGCGUAGAUAUCGAGAGGAACACCUGCGGCGAAGGCGGGUU